GAAGGCUUAGCCGAAAGAUUCUGGGUAGCGGCAACGGUCUUGAAAACCGUCGGUCACCGGGAGGUGAUGUUAGGGUUCGAAUCCCUAGUCUUCC
rfam:Vibrio phage VH7D, complete genome.